GUAAACGAUGUCGACUUGGAGGUUGUGCCCUUGAGGUGUGGCUUCCGGAGCUAACGCGUUAAGUCGACCGCCUGGGGAGUACGGCCGCAAGGUUAAAACUCAAAUGAAUUGACGGGGGCCCGCACAAGCGGUGGAGCAUGUGGUUUAAUUCGAUGCAACGCGAAGAACCUUACCUGGUCUUGACAUCCACGGAAGUUUUCAGAGAUGAGAAUGUGCCUUCGGGAACCGUGAGACAGGUGCUGCAUGGCUGUCGUCAGCUCGUGUUGUGAAAUGUUGGGUUAAGUCCCGCAACGAGCGCAACCCUUAUCCUUUGUUGCCAGCGGUCCGGCCGGGAACUCAAAGGAGACUGCCAGUGAUAAACUGGAGGAAGGUGGGGAUGACGUCAAGUCAUCAUGGCCCUUACGACCAGGGCUACACACGUGCUACAAUGGCGCAUACAAAGAGAAGCGACCUCGCGAGAGCAAGCGGACCUCAUAAAGUGCGUCGUAGUCCGGAUUGGAGUCUGCAACUCGACUCCAUGAAGUCGGAAUCGCUAGUAAUCGUGGAUCAGAAUGCCACGGUGAAUACGUUCCCGGGCCUUGUACACACCGCCCGUCACACCAUGGGAGUGGGUUGCAAAAGAAGUAGGUAGCUUAACCUUCGGGAGGGCGCUUACCACUUUGUGAUUCAUGACUGGGGUGAAGUCGUAACAAGGUAACCGUAGGGGAACCUGCGGUUGGAUCACCUCCUUACCUUAAAGAAGC
rnacentral:rRNA from 1 species